rnacentral:rRNA from 1 species
AUUGAACGCUGGCGGCAGGCCUAACACAUGCAAGUCGAGCGAGCGGCGGACGGGUGAGUAAUGUCUGGGAAACUGCCUGAUGGAGGGGGAUAACUACUGGAAACGGUAGCUAAUCACGCAUACCAUCAGAUUUGCCCAGAUGGGAUUAGCUAGUCGGUGGGGUAAUGGCUCACCUAGGCGACGAUCCCUAGCUGGCCUGAGAGGUUGACCAGCCACACUGGAACUGAGACACGGCCCAGACUCCUACGGGAGGCAGCAGUGGGGAAUCUUGGACAAUGGGCGAAAGCCUGAUGCAGCAAUGCCGCGUGUGUGAAGAAGGCUUUCGGGUUGUAAAGCACUGUCAGCGGGGAGGCGUUACCCGCCGAAGAAGCAACGGCUAACUCCGUGCCAGCAGCCGCGGUAAUUC